rfam:Clostridium sp. CAG:798 genomic scaffold, scf35
GUGGAUGUAGCUCAGUUGGUUAGAGCGCUAGUUUGUGGCACUAGAGGCCGUGGGUUCGAGUCCCAUCUUCCACC